GACGAACGCUGGCGGCGUGCUUAACACGUGCAAGUCGAACGGAAAGGCCCUGCUUUUGUGGGGUGCUCGAGUGGCGAACGGGUGAGUAACACGUGAGUAACCUGCCCUUGACUUUGGGAUAACUUCAGGAAACUGGGGCUAAUACCGGAUAGGAGCUCCUGCUGCAUGGUGGGGGUUGGAAAGUUUCGGCGGUUGGGGAUGGACUCGCGGCUUAUCAGCUUGUUGGUGGGGUAGUGGCUUACCAAGGCUUUGACGGGUAGCCGGCCUGAGAGGGUGACCGGCCACAAUGGGACUGAGAUACGGCCCAGACUCCUACGGGAGGCAGCAGUGGGGAAUAUUGCACAAUGGGCGGAAGCCUGAUGCAGCAACGCCGCGUGCGGGAUGACGGCCUUCGGGUUGUAAACCGCUUUCGCCUGUGACGAAGCGUGAGUGACGGUAAUGGGUAAAGAAGCACCGGCUAACUACGUG
rnacentral:rRNA from 1 species